UUUGUGGUAACACUGCCGUGUGGGCAGCUCUGACAGAGAAAAACACUAUAGAUACGUAAGAGGGAGCCGUAAAAUGUAAGUGCAUCAUCUUUUCUUGAAUGGAGGCCUAAUCUGUCUGCUGCACUUCAGCAGGUUCAGUUUUUAGAGUGAAUGAAAACUUUUGAAGCAUAGAUAUGCCGUGUGAUGUGAUUAAAAUCAUACUUAUUUUACUGUGGUGGGGAUUAUUAUGAGCAAACAAACUUAAAAGUUUAAUCUGAACACUAUAUAUAUAUAUAAUCUGACAUUUAUUUAUUUUAUUUUUUUACAGAAAUUCUGAGCUGCUGCAUGAACAUUCAUCAAACAUAUAAGGCUGCAAUUUGGGAAAAAACUUUCAAGCUAAUGCUGCUGAAAUGGAGGUCAAGGGGACUAUGAAGAGGUGGCUUCAGCUGGCAGAUCAAAAGGGUGGACUUCAGGAGGCAGACACACUCUGUUACAGUAAUCAGCUGAUCCAGUCGGUAUCCAGACCAGACAGUGGACCUGCACCCAGGAGCGACCACAACACAUCCCUGACUGUCAGCGGAGACCAUGUCAGCUAGAUGACAGAUCCCUGUGAAGACCUCACUGAUGGCCUCAGCACAGAUCCUCAGCAAAGACUACGAGAACCAGACAAGCCCUCUGCGCAGACCCUUUUUACCAGCUUCACCUGCUAGCGUGAUAUUACUUCAUGCAGAAGAAGUUGGAUGAAAUAUUCUGAAUGAUAUCAAUCCACAAUCUGACUUGUGAUGCAGCCUGGAAUAAUCACACCACAUUCAUUAAUUUGGCCAGACGAGACUGUUUCCUGACUGAGCCGGGUCUUGUUUGGGUUCCUUGUCACUGUUGCCUUUUGUCUUGCUUGGUUGAAGACACCUAAUAUUCAGCAAUAUUAUUGACUUGACUGCACUGACACCAUUUGAUAAGAACUGAA